CUGCGUAUAUAAAUCUCCCCACUGUAUUUUCCACUGAAUGCAUCCGAUGAGGUGAGCUGUACUCCUUUUCUUUUUGAGGAUUUACUGUGUCUGUAUCUAAGACAGAUGGUUAUCCAGCCUCUUUGAAAAACCUCCAGUGAAGGAGCUUCCUCACUUCCCUGGGCAGUUUCUUCCAUUGUCCUACUGUUCUUACAGUUAAGAAGAUUUUCCUGAGAUGCUUCCCAUUCAGUGAGUGCUGUCUGUCCUGUGCACUGAAUGAGAAAAGGGUCCUAGGGGGGAAAAAGAAGUAAGGGAUCAUGUAUUUAGGCUAUCAAAAUAUAUAUAAGGAUGUCAAUUUAUGGUCUGUGCGUUCUUAAUUCUGACACUUCAUAAUCUGAGGGAUUGACUCUGCAGCUUUAAUGUUCUUUUAGUGUAGCUUGUGUAUGUAAUAGUUUGCAGAUGAGAUACCAUUAAAUGGAACUCAACAAUAUGUAACCAUAGUUCCUGGGUUUUUAAGGAUCAAUAAAACUUUGUGGUGUGCAGUACAAAUGCCUACCUUUGUGUAGCUCUCCAUCAGCUCUUAACACACAGCCUUCAUAAGCCUUUCCUGGAAACAGCAUCCAGUCCCCAGGGUACUGCCUGGAGCUAGAGCUCCCCUGAUUCUGAACAUGCUAUUAGAGGUUUUAUAAAGGUGGAAAAGCAGUU